rnacentral:lncRNA from 1 species
AUGCCCAUAUUUAAGUAGUAAAUAUUCCACAGUUAUUAUAAAGUUGGCCCUCGUGCUUUAUUCUUAUGAGCGAGAGAAUAAAAUAUGCAGAGCAAGGAACUAGAUAGACGGUAUAGUAAUUUGGAAGAAGCAUCUGAAAGACUCGCUAAAUGGCUUCGAAGACUAGAAGCGGCGACUUGCGAGUGUAGCAUGUUGCUGAGCUCCAUUAUCAUGUAUGUUAUGGCCUCCUUGACCCUCUCUUGAGAUGUCUUGUUGAGUUGAAUUGCCCACCGGCUUGAAAUUGGCUUUAGGCUUGGGCAACUUCUUUGAAAGACCCAGUCUAUAAAUUAUUCGAAUAGUUCGUGAUCCCUGUCCUUCCAUUGCCUUGUAAUGAUGCAUGUCUCCUCUUCUAAGAUCUUUUGAAUUAUUUGUGUA